UACGUAGGGUGCGAGCGUUGUCCGGAAUUAUUGGGCGUAAAGGACUCGUAGGCGGUUUGUCGCGUCGGGAGUGAAAUCCACUGGCUUAACUGGUGGCUUGCUUUCGAUACGGGCAGACUGGAGGUAUGCAGGGGAGAACGGAAUUCCUGGUGUAGCGGUGAAAUGCGCAGAUAUCAGGAAGAACACCCGUGGCGAAGGCGGCUCUCUGGGACGGUACUGACGCUGAGACGCGAAAGCGUGGGGAGCGAACAGG
rnacentral:rRNA from 1 species